GAUGAACGCUGGCGGCGUGCCUAAUACAUGCAAGUCGAGCGAACGGACGAGAAGCUUGCUUCUCUGAUGUUAGCGGCGGACGGGUGAGUAACACGUGGAUAACCUACCUAUAAGACUGGGAUAACUUCGGGAAACCGGAGCUAAUACCGGAUGAUAUUUUGAACCGCAUGGUUCAAAAGUGAAAGACGGUCUUGCUGUCACUUAUAGAUGGAUCCGCGCUGCAUUAGCUAGUUGGUAAGGUAGCGGCUUACCAAGGCAACGAUGCAUAGCCGACCUGAGAGGGUGAUCGGCCACACUGGAACUGAGACACGGUCCAGACUCCUACGGGAGGCAGCAGUAGGGAAUCUUCCGCAAUGGGCGAAAGCCUGACGGAGCAACGCCGCGUGAGUGAUGAAGGUCUUCGGAUCGUAAAACUCUGUUAUUAGGGAAGAACAUAUGUGUAAGUAACUGUGCACAUCUUGACGGUACCUAAUCACAAAGCCACGGCUAACUACGUG
rnacentral:rRNA from 1 species